rnacentral:rRNA from 1 species
GACGAAGGAUGCAAGCGUUAUCCGGAUUCAUUGGGUUUAAAGGGAGCGUAGGUGGCCUUAUAAGCCAGUGGUGAAAUCUUCGAGCUUAACUCGGAAAUUGCCAUUGAUACUGUAGGGCUUGAGUAUAGUUGCCGUUGGCGGAAUAUGACAUGUAGUGGUGAAAUACAUAGAGAUGUCAUAGAACACCGAUUGCGAAGGCAGCUGACGAAACUAUAACUGACACUGAGGCUCGAAAGUGCGGGGAUCAAACAGG